AACGUAGGAGACAAACGUUAUCCGGAGUUACUGGGCGUAAAGGGCGUGUAGGUGGUUGUGUAAGUCUGGCGUGAAAUUUUUCGGCUUAACCGGGAAAGGUCGUCGGAUACUGCACAACUAGAGGACGGUAGAGGCGUGUGGAAUUCCGGGUGUAGUGGUGAAAUGCGUAGAGAUCCGGAGGGACACCAGUGGCGAAGGCGACACGCUGGGCCGUACCUGACACUGAUGCGCGACAGCAUGGGGAGCAAACAGG
rnacentral:rRNA from 1 species